GACUWGAGUUCGGRAGGGGAGACUGGAAUUCCUGGUGUAGCGGUGAAAUGCGCAGAUAUCAGGAGGAACACCGGUGGCGAAGGCGGNURURUGGGCCGUUACUGACGCUGAGGAGCGAAAGCGUGGGGAGCNAACAGGAUUAGAUACCCUGGUAGUCCKCNCCGUAAACGUUGGGCNCUAGGUGUGGGNNUCAUUCCACGGNWUCCGUGCCGUAGCUAACGCAUUAAGRGCCCCGCCUGGGGAGUACGGCCGCAAGGCUAAAACUCAAAGGAAUUGACGGGGGCCCGCACAAGCGGCGGAGCAUGUGGA
rnacentral:rRNA from 1 species